GGGGAUGACAUGGAUUCGACGGAUGGAAUCCGACAUCAGGCUGCGUGUCGAGCAUCCUGGAAUGCUCGUAAAUCCUACCAGGAAAACACAUAAAUGCGAACGAUUACUCGUACGCGAUGGCUGCUUAAAUAGCGCUGUCUGUCUCUCUCCUUGCCCGUCUGCCGGCGGGGAACAGGGGCAUCAUCAAUGGUAGACUGGCCGUUUCCGGAUCCGGCUGUUCUGGAGCGGUGACAUCAAUCAGCCUUGGCUGCUGUAGUGCCGAGUCGGUCGGCAUGCUGUAGCGGCGACACUCAAAUAGGCCGGCUACACACGUAGAGGCCUGAAUGUUUGACCAUUCGGACCCGGGUUCGACUCCCGGCAUCUCCACUA
rnacentral:tmRNA from 1 species